rnacentral:rRNA from 1 species
CAGCAGCCGCGGGAAUACAGAGGGUGCGAGCGUUAAUCGGAUUUACUGGGCGUAAAGCGUGCGUAGGCGGCUUCUUAAGUCGGAUGUGAAAUCCCUGAGCUUAACUUAGGAAUUGCAUUCGAUACUGGGAAGCUAGAGUAUGGGAGAGGAUGGUAGAAUUCCAGGUGUAGCGGUGAAAUGCGUAGAGAUCUGGAGGAAUACCGAUGGCGAAGGCAGCCAUCUGGCCUAAUACUGACGCUGAGGUACGAAAGCAUGGGGAGCAAACAGGAUUAGAGACCCCUGUAGUCCCUGUCUUUUAUAC